rnacentral:rRNA from 1 species
AGGAUUAACGCUGGCGGCGUGCAUGAAACAUGCAAGUCGAGCGCGGUACGUGGCUUCGGUCACGUAUCUAGCGGCGCACGGGUGAGUAACACGUGAGCAACCUACCUUCGAGUUCGGGAUAGCCCUGGGAAACCAGGAUUAAUACCGGAUGUGGUCACAACGGGACAUCCCGAUGUGAAAAAAGGCGCAAGCCGCUCGAUGACGGGCUCGCGGCCUAUUAGCUUGUUGGUGGGGUAACGGCCUACCAAGGCGACGAUGGGUAGCUGGUCUGAGAGGACGAUCAGCCACACUGGGACUGAGACACGGCCCAGACUCCUACGGGAGGCAGCAGUUAGGAAUUUUCCGCAAUGGGCGAAAGCCUGACGGAGCAACGCCGCGUGUGUGAUGAAGGCCUUCGGGUUGUAAAGCACUGUCGGAGGGGAAGAAUGAAUGACGGUACCCUCCAAGAAAGCCCGGCUAACUACGUGCCAGCAGCCGCGGU